CGCGAUCCCGUGCCUCCGCCGGUGCCGAAGGCUCUGAAAAGUAAACCAUAAAACGAGGGCAUGAGAACUAUUAAAAAUAGUUCCCAGUGGGCAAUUACUGACUUCAGUGCAUGCACCACAAGGCCCAAAGCUACAAAAGAUGUCAGUGACUAUAGAAGUAGAAAGGCGACAGGUAAGUAAAUAUGUAACCUACUACGACAUGAUAUCUCUACUUAGCAUGAAUAGCAUAAGUAUGAAAACAACUAUGCAUAAAGUAAAUGUCUCCAACUAUCAUGAUGUUCACAAUGUGAAAUAGUGAAGUUCCGUUGUUUACUAUUCUAAUCAAUGUCCAAGUAGUACACUAAGUCAUCAUCUGUCCACAUGUCAUAAUGGAUAUAUAUAGCCCAAUCUGAGAGACCCACCCGAAGGCUGUCUAUGGCCCUGAGACCCACCCGUAGGCUGUCUGGCCGGUGCCGAGCCUAAUGGCCCCGUGGUAGUCAUCAUCCCCACCCUAGGAAUGAGCCUGGCCCACGGCAAUCCACUUCGGCGCCCAAUCCCGCACGGCGAGUAUGAAUCGCGAUGGCCAUCUCCGGAGUGCCGGCUUGUAGGGAGCGACCCUCACAAGCAUGUGCGAAUGAGCACAAUGGCAAGUAGUCAAACGAUCUGUCGCAAGUACCAAGUCCUCAUGUCUAAUAACAUGGAAUGUAUCGAGUGUCCCAAAGGCCUAUCUCUAUGUCAUCAUGUCUCUAAGUUGCAUUUUAUAGUUUACUAAUUCCAAGUGCCUCUUUAUGACACUUUUGUUCAACGAGUCCCAAUUAUGGCAUUAACAUGUUCAUGAUGCAUAGUUCACUCAAUUCAAGCAUGGAGUCAUGUUCUCAACUUGCAAAACCAAGCACUAUCCACAAUGCAUGCAAUCUACGCAUAUAGCUCUACUAUAUGAAGUACAAUUUUUACGAUACAUGAAGCGUGCAAAUUAGGUGUUCUAAAAUUCAUAUAAAUCAUGUUUAGCAUGAAUUUGCAUUCGAAAAUACUUUACAAAAAUUUUAGAAGGCAUAGGGGCCAUUUUGCCCCAUUUUCAUGAAGUCAAACCCACCGAAAAAGAUCGACUUCUUCGUUUCGCCGAACGAAGAUAUCCACAAGCUCCCUAGUACCCUAGAACCAUCAAAAAUAGGGUCACCUAAACGAAACGAAGAGCGAAUAGCUCAAACAUUACCCAACUCAAGCUAGGGUUGGGAGAAACUCACCUCAAGUGGAAAACCCUCUCUAAAUCCUCAAAUGGAAGGUAGAGGUCUUCCAAUCUAACCUAUAUAAAGGUUCCAAACCCAUCAAUUAGGUCUCAUAACCCUCAAAUCCAAAAACCCCCAAAAUAAACCCUAAAUCCCAAAAUCUAGGGUUUCAUCUAGAAAAAACCUAGGAAAACAAGUAUCAAAUGGGGAUUAUAAGCUACCAACCUCAAGAGAAGCCCCAAUCCAAGCUCAAAACCAAGUAGGGUUGGAGUUUGAUCCUCCACAAGGCUCCAACCGCAUGCUCCAAGCCUCCAAAGGUGGAAAAUGAGGAAGAAGAUGAUGCCCCAAGGCCUCUAUGCAAGCUCCUUCUCCUCUUCUUCUCCUUCUUCUCCUUCCCUUUCUCUCUCUAGAAGUGUAGGAAGAGUGUGAGGGAGAGAAAAUGAGAGUGAGAGGGGAGGAGAGGCUGCCUAUAGCCUCUAAAGUAACAAAAUCCACAUAGGCCCCUCAAAAACUCAAAUUUACAUCAGCCCGGACUGGGCAGUUUUCGCCCAGAGGGACCGGUCUCUCCCCAGCAGGGACCGGUCUCUCGCUGCGAACCCGAAAAACCAGCGUUCGGGAACCGGUCUCUCCCUGCGCGGGACCGGUCUCUCCCCGCGCAGACGGGCUCGGGGACCGGUCUCAACUGCCAAGGACCGGUUGCCUCGCCUGCUGCGCGGUACUGUUCACUGGGGGACCGGUCUCUCCUAUCAGGGACCGGUCCCCGAGAGUAAAAACUCUCAGGACUCUGCCAAAACUCUCGAGAUCGAACUUUUAGGCCGGUAUACCAUCGACGGCCCUCCACCAAGUGUGGAAAAGUUCGGAAUACCAAUCGAACACUCGAACCUCGCAAUUUGCAAAGAUCCAGUGUGCUACA
rnacentral:lncRNA from 1 species